rfam:Picea glauca, whole genome shotgun sequence.
ACAAUGGUGUCUUUAGACACCACCUCUCUCUUGGAAUACUAUCUCUU